rnacentral:rRNA from 1 species
UACGGGGGGGCAAGCGUUGUUCGGCAUUACUGGGCGUAAAGGGCUCGUAGGCGGCCAACUAAGUCAGACGUGUAAUCCCUCGGCUUAACCGGGGAACUGCGUCUGAUACUGGAUGGCUUGAGUUUGGGAGAGGGACGCGGAAUUCCAGGUGUAGCGGUGAAAUGCGUAGAGAUCGGGAGGAAGGCCGGUGGCGAAGGCGGCGCUCUGGAACAUUUCUGACGCUGAGGCUCGAAAGCGUGGGGAGCAAACAGG